rnacentral:lncRNA from 1 species
UCCCAUUGCACAAGAUGAAUGGCAGUAGCACAAGAGGACAAAUGGACACGUGAUACCUCUUGAGUCAUCCAUCCUGAACACUCCCAAGAAAAUAAGGAAGAUAUUCUGAUUUAAACCACAUCGUUAAACUAGAAGUUCAAUUAAUGAAUUGUAAAGACAGCUGCCAUGCUGUGAAAACACUCAAGCAGUCUCACAGAGUGUUCAAAUGGCAAGGUACUGAGGUGCCCUGGCAACGGCAAGGAACUGAGGCCUUCAUCCAAAGCCAUUAAGUGAGCCAUACUGGAAGCAGGUGCUCCGGUCCCUGGUGGUCUUGAGAUGACAGCAGCUUCAGUGUCUUGACUGCAACCUCAAGAAAGACCUUGAGCCAAAGCCAUCCAGAACAACAGAUGACACGAGAUGUCCCUGCUGGGGAGAAAAACUUGAUGAUCCCAUUGGCAAACCAGCUCCUGAGAUUUGUAUCAAGGCCUCUGCAUCUCACAGCUACCUUGUGUCUCCUCUAUUGAAAAGCUGCUGGGACUUUCAGAGACAUUCUACUAAUGGCAAGUUCUGAGAAGGAAAACAAAAAGAUGCCUUAGUUCCAUGGAAGGCUGCUCUGAGGGAUAUUCUGCUAAGUGGCAUCCAGACAGAACACGGAGAAGCUCCUCGAUUGCGUCUCUCCCCUGCCUUAUUGUUUCCUGCUGCCCUUGACACUCCACUGUUUGGGCUAUUGCAAGGUUAGAAGGAUGCUCACGACCAACGAGACAGAGUCCUUUGCAUAUGGCCUUGAGGAUGUGUGCUUCUGAAAUCUAACAAAGUUUCGCUCUUGUUGCACAGGCUGGAGUGCAAUGGCACGAUCUUGGCUCACCUCCUCCUCUGCGUCCUGUGUUCAAGCGAUUCUCCUGCCUCUCCUGGGAUUACGGGCAUGUGCCACCAUGCCCGGCCAAUUUUGAACACAGACAGCCUGCGUCCAGAAUCCCUGCUCUUUCCCUGUAUACCACAUGGCCUCCUGUGCACGAUCCAGAGGAGACAUCCAGGUGUUGGAUACAUGGGCCCGGGGUGCAGCAGAAAAGCAUUGCCCCAGUGCACAGCCAUAUCCAUAUGCCGUUGGCGCAUGGAUUGGAACAAAACCAUGGAACUCGAUGAAGGUAUGGCCUAAGAAGAUCAAGAAGCUAAGGAGGACCAGCAUUAUAGGGUGGGCCAGAAGAGUAGAUCCAACAAGUGUUAACCUAUGGGAGAAUGUCAGGGUAAAGCAGGUUGUCAACAUGACCCUAUGCCAUAGAGACAUCAGGGCUGAUUAAUGUAUCAGAGAAAGACAGAGAGAGUAAAGGAGAGAGAGACUGAUAUGGUUUGGCUGUGUCCCCACCCAAAUCUCAUCUUGAAUUGUAAUCCCCAGGAUUGCCACAUAUCAAGGGGGAGGGAUCCAGUGGGAGGUUAUUGGAUCAUGGAGGUGGUUUCCCCAUGCUGUUCUCGUGAUAGUGAGUGAGUUCUCAUGAGAUCCGAUGGUUUUAUAAGGCAGUUUUCCCUGCUCUUGCACGCUGUCUCUGUCUCCUGCCAUCAUGUAAGACAUGCCUCUUCCCCUUCUGCCAUGAUUGUAAGUUUCCUGACAUCUCCCCAGCCAUGGGGAACUGAGUCAGUUAAAUCUCUUUUCUUUAUAAAUUGCUCAGUCUCAGGUAGUAUCUUUAUAGCAAUGUGAGAAUGGAGUAAUACACAGGCUCAGAAAAGUUCCUUGCAUUUGGCAAUUGAGAGAAUAAUGGGAUGAUGACUUCUGUCAGAAAAGUUUGUGAUCAGGAGGUGGGGGUGGAAUUCUGACUUGGGUGGGCCAGAGGAACUCAACGGUGGAAAAAUAAGUGGUGACAUCAUAAAUUGACACCUGUGAGAGAUGGCGGAUGAACUGAAUAAAGUGUAGGGUAUUUAGCUUGUCAUGAUUGUCCCUGAGAAACAGGUUGCAGGAAUGCUACUUGCAUUGAAUAAUUUUAUUAGUUAUCAUUUAAUUCCUUUAAAUUGAUUUCUUUAGUUCCCUAUCAGAGACAAGCUCAAACUACACACAAUGAAUACAUCACGGACUUCUCCUUCUCUUUAUUUCGCUUCACUCUGGGCAAAUGAAAGACAACAAAUAAAUAUUGUGGAUCUUGGUA